UACGUAGGGGGCAAGCGUUAUCCGGAUUUACUGGGUGUAAAGGGAGCGUAGACGGAAUUGCAAGUCUGAUGUAAAAAUCCGGGGCCCAACCCCGGAACUGCAUUGGAAACUGUAUUUCUAGAGUGUCGGAGAGGCAAGUGGAAUUCCUGGUGUAGCGGUGAAAUGCGUAGAUAUCAGGAGGAACACCAGUGGCGAAGGCGGCUUGCUGGACGAUGACUGACGUUGAGGCUCGAAAGCGUGGGGAGCAAACAGG
rnacentral:rRNA from 1 species